UGUUUCCAAAAAACCCACAUUAAACAUAAAAAACACCAAAAAGUAUCAGAAUGUGGCAAUUACUUCGGGAUAUGGCCAAUUUUUUCUGUAAUCAAUAUCGCUAUUUUUGGCUGGCCUCUAUUUUAGCCAUACCAUACCUAUCCUACCGAUCACAACAGACCGAUUUCAAUAUGCUGGAUUGCUUUAUAAUGUACGCAGCUGUGUUUAUUGGAGCCUUUGGAAUGAUUCAGGACGAGAGGAAUGGUCGUCCUCGUUAGCCCAACCUGAUGAAUAAAACCCCGAUCGUGAAAGAUGCGAAAACCUGUUUCUCAGCUAGAAACACUUAAGCACUGACCAAAAAAAAAAUCCAAUUAAUGACUUGCCCUAAAGAAGAGCCACUUGAUUGAUGUGUAUUACGUAUUAUUUGUUUUUUCCUUCUUUUUUGCCGGCGAGAUUGUUGGCGAGGCCGAAACCCGCCAAUCCGACGAGGCAGAAAGCCCAGCUCCACACGAUUCCCUGCCACAUUUUAGCCAUGUAUAUAUACUAAGUGCACUUCCACACUGAGAUGCUUCCACGAUCUUUGGCUAAUUAUGUAUUAAAAUAUUCAGUUGCAUGGA